rfam:Alligator sinensis unplaced genomic scaffold scaffold448_1, whole genome shotgun sequence
GGGGAUGUAGCUCAGCGGUAGCGUGCAUGUUUUGCAUGUAUGAGGUCCUAGGUUCGAUCCCCAGCAUCUCCA